GAUGAAGAACGCAGCGAAAUGCGAUAAGUAAUGUGAAUUGCAGAAUUCAGUGAAUCAUCGAAUCUUUGAACGCACAUUGCGCCCGCCAGUAUUCUGGCGGGCAUGCCUGUUCGAGCGUCAUUACAACCCUCAGGCCCCCGGGCCUGGCGUUGGGGAUCGGCGGAAGCCCCCUGCGGGCACAACGCCGUCCCCCAAAUACAGUGGCGGUCCCGCCGCAGCUUCCAUUGGGUAGUAGCUAACACCUCGCAACUGGAGAGCGGCGCGGCCACGCCGUAAAACACCCAACUUCUGAAUGUUGACCUCGAAUCAGGUAGGAAUACCCGCUGAACUUAAGCAUAUCAAUAAGCGGAGGA
rnacentral:misc_RNA from 1 species